UUAAUGGCAGUCUGCUGUGUCAUUUAAAAAGCUGCAACCUCUCAUUUAUUCUUCACAUCUUCAAUGCCUGAACAAACACCAACAAUGUGACUAUACAUUGUUUGUGGAUUGUAAUGAAUAUAACUUGAUGAUGUUUCACCGAAAAUAUCCGAUUGGCACAAGGCCCGAAAGUUUUGAGCAGGGGACCAGUCGAUUAGAUCGACACCAGUACGCAGCUUGUACUUAAUUUAUCGACCCUGGAAGGAGGAAAUGCAAAGUCGACCUCGGCAGAAUUUGAACUCAGAACGUGAAAAAAGACGAUAUACCGAAUGAGAAGUUCGUGUUUUUAGUUUUAACAAGAUGAUUACGUUGAACAGCUAUAGAAUUUGAAUACGACUUCAAGUGACGGCAUCCCAGCAACUGACUCUACACGCAAACUGCUACAUGUAGCUGAAACAUAGAGGACUUGGAAAGUAACUUUUACAAAAUGAUUUGCUGCAGAUUGAAGUAGAUAAUCGACGAUUAGCGCAAGCGUGGAAAGCAUAAUAUGGAAAGCUUCAAAGAACACACGUGACAGAAUUAAUAUAAAUAUCGCUUGCAAAAUAUAGUUAUGAAACAACUGCAUGGAUUGCAUCAUUCUCCGAUACAUGUUGUGAGAAAAAUUAAAUAAAAAUCAC